rnacentral:rRNA from 1 species
AGCACUGUAGGUGCCAGCCGCCGCGGUAAUACGUAGGGAGCGAGCGUUAUCCGGAUUCAUUGGGUGUAAAGCGUGUGUAGGCGGUUUCUUAAGUCAGUAGUCUAAGCCUGGAGCUUAACUCCAGUUCGCUACUGAAACUGAGUUACUUGAGUAUGGUAGAGGCAAGUGGAAUUUCUAGUGUAGCGGUGGAAUGCGUAGAUAUUAGAAGGAACACCAGUGGCGAAGGCGGCUUGCUGGGCCAUCACUGACGCUGAGACACGAAAGCGUGGGGAGCAAAUAGGAUUAGAUACCCUAGUAGUCCACGCCGUAAACGAUGGAUACUAAGUGUCGGAGUUAUUCGGUGCUGAAGUUAACACAUUAAGUAUCCCACCUGAGUAGUACGUUCGCAAGAAUG